rnacentral:rRNA from 1 species
AGAUUGAACGCUGGCGGCAGGCCUAACACAUGCAAGUCGAGCGGCAGCACGGGUACUUGUACCUGGUGGCGAGCGGCGGACGGGUGAGUAAUGCCUAGGAAUCUGCCUGAUAGUGGGGGAUAACGUUCGGAAACGGACGCUAAUACCGCAUACGUCCUACGGGAGAAAGUGGGGGAUCUUCGGACCUCACGCUAUCAGAUGAGCCUAGGUCGGAUUAGCUAGUUGGUAGGGUAAAGGCCUACCAAGGCUACGAUCCGUAACUGGUCUGAGAGGAUGAUCAGUCACACUGGAACUGAGACACGGCCCAGACUCCUACGGGAGGCAGCAGUGGGGAAUAUUGGACAAUGGCGAAAAGCCUGAUCCAGCCAUGCCGCGUGUGUGAAGAAGGUCUUCGGAUUGUAAAGCACUUUAAGUUGGAGAAGGCAUUAACCUAAUACGUUAGUGUUUGACGUUACGACAGAAUAAGCACGCUAACUCUGUGCCAGCAGCCGCGUAA